rnacentral:rRNA from 1 species
GUCGAACGGACAAUUAUUUAUAGCUUUUGGCUAUAGGCAAUUGUUAGUGGCAGACGGGUGAGUAAUGCGUAGGAAUCUACCUAGUAGUACGGAAUAGCCAUUAGAAAUGAUGGGUAAUACUGUAUAAUCCCCGCGGGGGAAAGAUUUAUCGCUAUUAGAUGAGCCUACGUUAGAUUAGCUAGUUGGUAAGGUAAUGGCUUACCAAGGCUAUGAUCUAUAGCUGGUCUGAGAGGACGAUCAGCCACACUGGAACUGAGAUACGGUCCAGACUCCUACGGGAGGCAGCAGUGGGGAAUAUUGGACAAUGGGCGAAAGCCUGAUCCAGCUAUGCCGCGUGAGUGAAGAAGGCCUUCGGGUUGUAAAACUCUUUCAAUAGGGAAGAUAAUGACGGUACCUAUAGAAGAAGUCCCGGCAAACUCUGUGCCAGCAGCCGCGGUAAUACGGAGGGGGCAAGCGUUGUUCGGAAUUAUUGGGCGUAAAGGGCACGUAGGUGGACUAGUAAGUUAAAAGUGAAAUACCAAAGCUUAACUUUGGAGCGGCUUUUAAUACUGCUAGACUAGAGGUCGAAAGAG